AUAAUGGGUCAGCGACUUAUAUUCUGUAGCAAGGUUAACCGAAUAGGGGAGCCGAAGGGAAACCGAGUCUUAACUGGGCGUUAAGUUGCAGGGUAUAGACCCGAAACCCGGUGAUCUAGCCAUGGGCAGGUUGAAGGUUGGGUAACACUAACUGGAGGACCGAACCGACUAAUGUUGAAAAAUUAGCGGAUGACUUGUGGCUGGGGGUGAAAGGCCAAUCAAACCGGGAGAUAGCUGGUUCUCCCCGAAAGCUAUUUAGGUAGCGCCUCGUGAAUUCAUCUCCGGGGGUAGAGCACUGUUUCGGCAAGGGGGUCAUCCCGACUUACCAACCCGAUGCAAACUGCGAAUACCGGAGAAUGUUAUCACGGGAGACACACGGCGGGUGCUAACGUCCGUCGUGAAGAGGGAAACAACCCAGACCGCCAGCUAAGGUCCCAAAGUCA
rnacentral:rRNA from 1 species